GCUGUGUCUGACACAGCGAGACCGCGGACGGCUCAUUAAAUCAGUCGUGGUCCAUAUGGGCCAGUGUUAAUCUUACUUGGACAACUGUGGUAAUUCCAGAGCUAAUACAUGCAACUCUUAUCCCGAAGGAGAAUGGCGUAAGUUGUUCUCUCUGACGGAUGCUUUUAUUAGACCAAACUGCUGAGUGCGUGGUGUAUCACUUCGGUGUUGCCGCGUAUGACUCGUUAUAUGGUGACUCUGAAUAACAUUCUAUUUGACAAGCGCAAUUACCCCUCUUAUGAGUUGGGACGGCGCUACCACUUUCGAGUGUCUGACUUAUCAGCUAUCAACCGUUCGUUAUGUGCGACCGAUGGCGUUGACGGGUAACGGGGAAUCAGAGUUCGAUUCCGGAGAGGCAGCCUGAGAGACGGCUACCACGUCCAAGGACGGCAGCAGGCACGCAAAUUACCCAAUCCCAGCACCUGGGGGAGGUAGUGACGAAAUCUAACGAUGCGGGCGCCCUUUCUGGGGCCCCGCAAUCGGAAUGGCCACUUUCUAAAAAACCUGUUGAGAACCUACUGAAGGGCAAGUCUGGUGCCAGCAGCCGCGGUAAUUCCAGCUUCAGCAGCAUCUAUUAAAGUUGCUGCGGUUAAAAGGCUCGCAGUUGAAUGUCAGUACCGAGCGCAGGUCAGGUGGACGUUGGGGCGUGGGAAUACAAGGCGUUUGUGUAUUACUACCUCAUUCUCUGUGAUUGUCUUGUGCAGUUGCGGGUUUGUGCGUGUGUGUGCGCUUUCGUCUCUCACAAGCCCCCGUCCGUGACAAGCCUCCUCGUUUGUGUACAUAUCUGGAAUCGCAAAUUACAAUGGAGUGUGCAACGUGUCUCUGCGUGGGUUUUGGAGUGCGUGCUUACCUUCUGGAGGCGUUCACGCGUUCUCUGUGUUGUGUAUUGUCGCGUGCACAUUGUCUUGCGCAUGUGUGCACUUGUACGUUAAAAGCUCCUUCGGUUUUAAAGUCACCUUGAGUAAAUCAGAGUGCUCAAAGCAGUCGUGAGGGCCUUGUGCCCUGUGAACAGUCUUGACGGACUGACUUGGUUUUGCAUGGCAUGUCGGAAGACGACGUCGUGUACUGGCUCAGAGAUGUAAUCAGUGGUGCAAGCCAGUCUCGACGUACUGAUUAACAGGUCCGGUCGAGGGCAUUGGUAUUGCGAGGCGAGAGGUGAAAUUCUAUGACCCCCGCAAGACCUCCUGAAGCGAAAGCGUCUGCCAAGGACGUUCUCACUAAUCAUGAACGAAAGUUAGAGGAUCGAAGGCGAUCAGAUACCGCCCUAGUUCUAACCGUAAACGAUGCCAACCAUCAAUCCGCGCGUAGCACCCUUCUUAACGGGCUCGGCGGGCAGCUCCCCACCUUCGGGAAACCAGAGUCUCUGGGUUCCGGGGGGAGUCUGGUUGCAAAGCUGAAACUUAAAGGAAUUGACGGAAAGGCACCACCAGGCGUGGAGCCUGCGGCUUAAUUUGACUCAACACGGGCCAUCUCACCAGGCCAGCACUCUUGUAUGAUUGACAGAUUGAGAGCUCUUUCUCGAUUCAGUGGAUGGUGGUGCAUGGCCGUUCUUAGUUGGUGGAGUGAUCUGUCUGGUUAAUUCCGAUAACGAACGAGACUCUCCCCUGCUAACUAGUCGGUUGGAUCUUGUUCGGUGAGUCGUGUGCCGAGAACACUCAUGGGAGUCUUGGCGGCAGAUGCUAUGCGCAUGGGGGACGCGUUUUGUGUGUGUUCGUUGUGUGAUGAUGGUUCUCGUAGCUGUUGUUGCCUUCAGCGCGUGCAGCGUGUUUUUCUUUCCGUGUGUGUUGGUGUUUGUUUAGCCUUUCUCUUGUGGGCCUCGGGCCACACACUCCAAGUCCGCCGCUUAUGCUAUAACUCUUCUUAGAGGGAUUCACGGUACUGAAGCCGUAAGAAACUGAGAGCAAUAACAGGUCUGUGAUGCCCUUAGAUGCUCUGGGCCGCACGCGCGCUACAAUGCCGGGCACAGCAGGUAGUUCUCCUGCUCCGACAGGAGCGGGUAACCCUCUGAAAGCCCUUGGUUUUGUCGUGUCUCUCGCAUGCAUUUUCACACUUCGCGUGUGUGUAUGAUGGGGGAUACGAACGGCGUGAUGGGGCCUGGGACUUGCAAUUUUUUCCCACAAACGAGGAAUGCCUAGUAGCGGCGGGUCACUGAGCCCACCGUGACUCAGUCCCUGCCCUUUGUACACACCGCCCGUCGCUACUACCGAUUGGGUGUACCAGUGAGAGCC
rnacentral:rRNA from 1 species